rnacentral:rRNA from 1 species
GAUGAACGCUGGCGGCGUGCCUAAUACAUGCAAGUCGAGCGAAUGGAUUAAGAGCUUGCUCUUAUGAAGUUAGCGGCGGACGGGUGAGUAACACGUGGGUAACCUGCCCAUAAGACUGGGAUAACUCCGGGAAACCGGGGCUAAUACCGGAUAAUAUUUUUAACUGCAUGGUUCAAAAUUGAAAGGCGGCUUCGGCUGUCACUUAUGGAUGGACCCGCGUCGCAUUAGCUAGUUGGUGAGGUAACGGCUCACCAAGGCAACGAUGCGUAGCCGAACUGAGAGGGUGUCCGGCCAGACGAGGAGUGGGACAAGGCACAGACUGCUACGGGAGACAGCAGUAGGGAAUCGUCCGCAAUGGACGAAAGACUGACGGAGCAACGCCGCGUGAGUGAUGAAGGCUUUCGGGUCGUAAAACUCUGUUGUUAGGGAAGAACAAGUGCUAGUUGAAUAAGCUGGCUCCUUGACGGUACCUAAACAGAAAGCCACGGCUAACUACGUGCCAGCCGCCGCGGUAA